ensembl:miRNA
ACGGCCUGGAUGUUGGGCAGGACGCCUCCCUGGGCGAUCGUCACGCCGCCCAGCAGCUUGUUGAGCUCCUCGUCGUUGCGGAUGGCCAGCUGCAGGUGGCGGGGGAUGAUUCGCGUCUUCUUGUUGUCGCGGGCCGCAUUG